AAUGCACGUGAUGAGCCAUGCCUCACCAUGUUUCUUGCCAUUCUCCCAUCGGAGUUUGUGACUCAGAACCACCAACAAGCCGAAGAAGAAUUUUGAGCUGAGAUAGUGAAUGACGGUGCAGAAUCCGGCUGUUACAAGAGAUGGCAGAGGCUAUAUCUCUUGGUUCCCUGCAUAUGCAAGCAAGCGCAGCAGCAGCAGCAGCAUUUUAGCAGAGCUGCGGCAGCGCCCUAUCGGCUACUAUAUGCCUCAAUAUUGGAAGCACUUUGAGCGGGUUGAGUUCAUUUGGACGUAGCAGGCCAUGUCCUUUGCUCCGCUACUUUGCUACCUUGCUGUUGAACAUAUGUGACGAGGGGCAGUAGUGAGUGAGCAAUUUAUUUGGUAAAUUUAGGAAUCUUUUAACUUGGGGAAUAAAAGAUUUAAGGUUUUGCACCGGAGGUAGCACUUGGGGCCAGGGGCAAAUAUAACUGCUGAAUUCUGCUACUUCUGUACUUCAUCCAUGUUACAGAUAGCAGCAGUCUCUGAAAACAUGAGGUUGUGCCCAUAGCUCUAAAUUUGCUGUUGCCUUUUGUGGCAACUUAAAAGAAAUAAUCUCAUCAUCUUCUCCUUUUUUAUAUUCCUUACUAAUCAUCUCUUUCUGUUGAUGUCCUAGAGUUGAAUGUCAUUGCUUGCUAAAGUUCUAUUAGCACAUAGAUUUGACUAUGGA
rnacentral:misc_RNA from 1 species